rnacentral:rRNA from 1 species
AGAGUUUGAUCCUGGCUCAGGAUGAACGCUAGCGGCAGGCUUAACACAUGCAAGUCGAACGGUAACAUUUCUCGCUUGCGAGAAGAUGACGAGUGGCGCACGGGUGCGUAACGCGUAUACAAUCUGCCUUGAACAAAGGGAUAGCCCAUGGAAACGUGGAUUAAUACCUUAUAAUGUGUAGAGAUGGCAUCAUCAUUACAUCAAAGAUUUAUCGGUUCAAGAGGAGUAUGCGUGACAUUAGCUAGUCGGUGAGGUAACGGCCCACCAAGGCAACGAUGUCUAGGGGUUCUGAGAGGAUGAUCCCCCACACUGGUACUGAGACACGGACCAGACUCCUACGGGAGGCAGCAGUGAGGAAUAUUGCGCAAUGGAGGAAACUCUGACGCAGCCAUGCCGCGUGAAGGAAUGAAGGCCCUAUGGGUUGUAAACUUCUUUUAUAUGGGAAGAAACUUUUCUACGUGUAGAGAACUGACGGUACCAUACGAAUAAGGACCGGCUAACUCCGUGCCAGCAGCCGCGGUAAUACGGAGGGUCCAAGCGUUAUCCGGAUUCAUUGGGUUUAAAGGGUACGUAGGCGGAUAAAUAAGUUAGUGGUGAAAUCCCGAAGCUCAACUUCGGAACUGCCAUUAAAACUGUUUAUCUUGAAUUUGGUUGAAGUGGGCGGAAUAUGACAUGUAGCGGUGAAAUGCAUAGAUAUGUCAUGGAACACCGAUAGUGAAGACAGCUCACUAA